AAAGGAAUAGACGGGGGCCCGCACAAGCGGUGGAGUAUGUGGUUUAAUUCGAUGCAACGCGAAGAACCUUACCAAGGCUUGACAUCCUGGGAACCCUGCUGAAAGGUGGGGGUGCCCUUCGGGGAGCCCAGAGACAGGUGGUGCAUGGCUGUCGUCAGCUCGUGUCGUGAGAUGUUGGAUUAAGUUCCGCAACGAGCGCAACCCUCGUGAUAUGUUGCCAGCAGUUCGGCUGGGCACUCAUGUCAGACUGCCGCAGUAAUGCGGAGGAAGGUGGGGAUGACGUCAAGUCAGCAUGCCCCGUACGCCUUGGGCUACACACAUACUACAAUGCCAACGGCAAACCGCGGCUAACCCGCGAGGGGGCGCGAAUCGGAAAAGCGUUGGCUCAGUGCGGAUCGCAGGCUGCAACUCGCCUGCGUGAAGUCGGAAUCGCUAGUAACCGUCGGUCAGCAUUACGACGGUGAAUACGUUCCCGGGCCUUGUACACACCGCCCGU
rnacentral:rRNA from 1 species